AAAGGAUCUGUACCACACAGUAAGCCAUAUUACUUUUCAGACAACUGCAUUAAAAAUGCACCAAAACUCAACAACUGUUUAGUGACUUCUCCUGGCAGAGCUGACAGCUGUUCAGUGUUCUUAGCAGCUUCCCGUGUCAUAACGCCUCUCAAUCAAAGCUUUCACAACCUUUCACAGCCUCACCAGUUUCAAAAUAGACGUACGAUAAAGUAAUUCACCCCUUGUAGAGUUGUUUAACAGGCUGCAAACAUGCAGUUUAAUCCUGGAAAUGCGGGCAUUUUAACAUCAGAGUCCAUUGGUGUUGGCUUACUUUUGCAGCCCGCCUCAAGUGGCCAUUUAAGGAACUGCAGUUUUUUUUUGCAUUUUGAGCUGGAUUCAUGGAGCUUUUGUCCCUCGGUUAACCAAGUCCUGUUAUUAUUUAUGGAACUGUCAAUAUAAAACGUUUAAAGAGCAUACACUUUAGUUUUUGUAUAUGUUUACACAAAGCGAUAAAGUGAUGAGUGUUUGGUUGUUUGUUUAUUUUAUAGCAAUCCAAUCAGUGAGUCGCUGUACGUAAAUGAAAAAACCCUUAACAACGGACUGGAUGACAUUCCAGGAGUGUAUGGAAACGUUUUCCCAUCGAUAGAAUUAACAAACGACGACGACGACUAUGAAAAUUCAGACUUCCUGAAAGAUGCAGGAGAAUAAUGCGCCCAGCCACAAACCAGAAAUGGUUCAGGAAUGAUUUGAGGAGCACAACGAGUGUUGACUUGGUCUCCAAAUUCUCCAGAUCUCAAUCCAAACGAGCAUCUGUGGGAUGUGCUGGACAAACAAGAUCGAUUGGUGGAGGUCCCACCUCACCACUUCCACGACUUAAAGGAUCGUUAGCUAACAUCUUGGUGGCAGAUACCACACCACAAUCCAUACCUGUAGGCAGGUCGUCAUAAUGUUAUAUCUAAUCGGUGUAUAUGGAUUGCAUGUUUUGUUUAAUUAUUAAAGAAGAUGAAAAGCC